rnacentral:rRNA from 1 species
GACGAACGCUGGCGGCGUGCUUAACACAUGCAAGUCGAACGGAAAGGCCCUGCUUUUGUGGGGUGCUCGAAUGGCGAACGGGUGAGUAACAAGUGAGUAACCUGCCCUUGACUUUGGGAUAACUUCAGGAAACUGGGGCUAAUACCGGAUAGGAGCUCCUGCUGCAUGGUGGGGGUUGGAAAGUUUCGGUGGUUGGGGAUGGACUCGCGGCUUAUCAGCUUGUUGGUGGGGUAGUGGCUUACCAAGGCUUUGACGGGUAGACGGCCUGAGAGGGUGACCGGCCACAUUGGGACUGAGAUGCGGCCCAGACUCCUACGGGAGGCAGCGGUGGGGAAUAUUGCACAAUGGGCGGAAGCCUGAUGCAGCAACGCCGCGUGCGGGAUGACGGCCUUCGGGUUGUAAACCGCUUUCGCCUGUGACGAAGCGUGAGUGACGGUAAUGGGUAAAGAAGCACCGGCUAACUACGUG